GACGAACCGAGCGAGCGUUGUCCGGAAUCACUGGGCGUAAAGGGCGCGUAGGCGGCCUGAUAAGUAGGGGGUGAAAUCCUGCGGCUUAACCGCAGGGCUGCCUUCUAAACUGUCAGGCUAGAGCACGGUAGAGGCAGAUGGAAUUCCCGGUGUAGCGGUGGAAUGCGUAGAGAUCGGGAAGAACAUCAGUGGCGAAGGCGGUCUGCUGGGCCGUUGCUGACGCUGAGGCGCGACAGCGUGGGGAGCAAACAGG
rnacentral:rRNA from 1 species